GUGGAGCAUGUGGCUUAAUUUGACUCAACGCGGGGAAUCUUACUAGGUCAGGACCAUCGAUGCGCGAGUUCGCGUCGUAUGUAUGAUUGUCGCAGUGUCGCUGCUACAAAAUUAUUGGAUGAGUGGUGCAUGGCCGUUCUUAGUUCGUGAUGCAAUUUGUCUACUUAAUUGUUGGUUGCGUAUGUUUCAUCGCAUCGUAACCGUAACGAACGAGACCGUGUUGUGUACGUAGCUACUCGCUGCGACAUUCGUACAUCGACAGAACAACCGCAAACUUGUUAGGAAGGACGCGGCAAUAACAGGUCUGUGAUGCCCUCAGAUGUUCUAGGCCGCACACGUGCUACAAUCUGAUUGUCGCCACGUAUGCAUGUAAGAUUCACCGCUGCGAGUCGAACCAACGUCACCGAUGGUUGGGAUCGUCGUUUGUAACUAUUCGACGUAACAACCAGGAAUGCCUCGUACGGUGCAGUUCAACAGAUUCCCUGGAAUCCGUCCCUGCCCUUUGUACACACCGCCCGUCGCUCUUACCGAUGGUGGUGGGUUCGAGUUGUGACGAAUGAUGUCUCGUAUAUUGUGAAUCACUACGAGAACCCACUGCUAAAGGAAAGAGAAGUCGUAACAAGGCAUCG
rnacentral:rRNA from 1 species